CAUCAUUGACAAACAGCACACGGAACAGGAGGCUAGCUACGGCAGAGACGCCUUUGCCAAGGCAAUAUAUGAGCGCCUCUUUUGUUGGAUUGUUACUCGCAUCAAUGACAUCAUCGAGGUCAAGAACUACGACACCACAGUACAUGGGAAAAACACAGUUAUUGGCGUCUUGGAUAUCUAUGGCUUUGAAAUCUUUGACAACAACAGCUUCGAGCAGUUCUGCAUUAACUACUGCAAUGAGAAGCUGCAGCAGCUGUUCAUUCAGCUGGUGCUGAAGCAGGAGCAAGAGGAGUACCAGCGGGAAGGAAUCCCCUGGAAACACAUUGAUUACUUCAACAACCAGAUCAUUGUGGACCUCGUGGAGCAGCAGCACAAAGGCAUCAUUGCAAUCCUGGAUGACGCGUGUAUGAAUGUUGGCAAAGUCACUGAUGGAA
rnacentral:lncRNA from 1 species